rnacentral:rRNA from 1 species
CCUACGGGUGGCAGCAGUGGGGAAUAUUGCGCAAUGGGCGAAAGCCUGACGCAGCGACGCCGCGUGAGGGAUGAAGGUCUUCGGAUCGUAAACCUCUGUCAGCAGGGAAGAACGGUCACUGUGCUAAUCAGCAGUGAAUUGACGGUACCUGCACAGGAAGCACCGGCUAACUCCGUGCCAGCAGCCGCGGUAAUACGGAGGGUGCGAGCGUGAAUCGGAAUUACUGGGCGUAAAGCGCUCGUAGGCGGUAUGUCAAGUCAAGGGUGAAAUCCCCGCGCUCAACGUGGGAACUGCCUUUGAAACUGUCAAACUGGAGUAUGUGAGAGGAUAGUGGAAUUCCAGGUGUAGGAGUGAAAGCCGUAGAUAUCUGGAGGAACAUCAGUGGCGAAGGCGACUAUCUGGCACAUAACUGACGCUAGGAGCGAAAGCGUGGGUAGCAAACAGGAUUAGAUACCCUAGUAGUC